rnacentral:rRNA from 1 species
UACAGAGGGUGCGAGCGUUAAUCGGAAUUACUGGGCGUAAAGCGCACGUAGGUGGCGACGUAAGUCGGGUGUGAAAGCCCCGGGCUCAACCUGGGAAUUGCAUUCGAGACUGCAUUGCUGGAGUACGGAAGAGGAAGGCGGAAUUCCCGGUGUAGCGGUGAAAUGCGCAGAUAUCAGGAGGAACACCGGUGGCGAAGGCGGGUCUCUGGGCCGAUACUGACGCUGAGGAGCGAAAGCGUGGGGAGCAAACAGG